CACGGCGCACGGGUGCGUAACACGUGGGCAAUCUGCCCUUCGAUGGGGAAUAACUUCGGGAAACCGAAGCUAAUUCCGCAUAACAUUCCGAGGACUAUGGUUCUUGGAUUCAAAGCCGUAAGGCGUCGAAGGAGGAGCCCGCGCACGAUUAGCUAGUUGGUGAGGUAACGGCUCACCAAGGCUUUGAUCGUUAGCUGGUCUGAGAGGAUGGCCAGCCACACUGGAACUGAGACACGGUCCAGACUCCUACGGGAGGCAGCAGUGGGGAAUCUUGCACAAUGGGCGAAAGCCUGAUGCAGCGACGCCGCGUGGGGGAUGAAGCAUUUCGGUGUGUAAACCCCUUUCGACCGGGAAGAAUGCCUCGCAAGAGGAGUGACGGUACCGGUAUAAGAAGCCCCGGCUAACUACGUGCCAGCAGCCGCGGUAAUACGUAGGGGGCCAGCGUUGUUCGGAAUUACUGGGCGUAAAGGGUUCGUAGGCGGUGCGGCAAGUUGGGAGUGAAAUCUCUGGGCUUAACCCAGAGACUGCUUUCAA
rnacentral:rRNA from 1 species